rnacentral:rRNA from 1 species
UACGUAGGGUGCAGGCGUUAAUCGGAAUUACUGGGCGUAAAGCGUGCGCAGGCGGUUUGUUAAGACAGGUGUGAAAUCCCCGGGCUUAACCUGGGGACUGCGCUUGUUACUGGCAAGCUGGAGUGUGGCAGAGGGGGGUGGAAUUCCACGUGUAGCAGUGAAAUGCGUAGAGAUGUGGAGGAACACCGAUGGCGAAGGCAGCCCCCUGGGCUGACACUGACGCUCAUGCACGAAAGCGUGGGGAGCAAACAGG